CAAAAAGUAGCUUAAACAAAAGCAUCCAACUUACAAUUGGAAGAUGCCCAGACUACUGGCCUUUUUGA
rnacentral:tRNA from 1 species